rnacentral:rRNA from 1 species
AUUGAACGCUGGCGGCAGGCUUAACACAUGCAAGUCGAGCGGGGGAAGGUAGCUUGCGACCGGACCUAGCGGCGGACGGGUGCGUAAUGCUUAGGACUCUUCCUAUUAGUGGGGGACAACAUCUCGAAAGGGAUGCUAAUACCGCUUACGUCCUACGGGAGAACGCAGGUGAUCUUCGCACCUUGCUCUAAUAGAUGAGCCUAGGUCGGAUUAGCUAGUUGGCGGGGUAACGGCCUACCAAGGCGACGAUCUGUAGCGGGUCUGGGAGGAUGAUCCGCCACACGGGGACUGAGACACGGCCCAGAAUCCUACGGGAGGCAGCAGUGGGGAAUAAUGGACGAUGGGGGGAACCCUGAUCCAGCCAUGCCGCGUGUGGGAAGAAGGCCUUAUGGUUGUAAAGCACUUUAAGCGAGGAGGAGGCUACUCUAGUUAAUACCUAGGGAUAGUGGACGUUACUCGCAGAAUAAGCACCGGCUAACUCUGUGCCAGCCGCCGCAGUAA